rnacentral:rRNA from 1 species
GACGGAGGGGGCUAGCGUUGUUCGGAAUGACUGGGCGUAAAGGGCGCGUAGGCGGUUUUUUAAGUGAGGCGUGAAAGCCCUGGGCUUAACCCAGGAGGUGCGUUUCAUACUGGAAGACUUGAGUGCGAGAGAGGAAAGUGGAAUUCCUAGUGUAGAGGUGAAAUUCGUAGAUAUUAGGAAGAACACCUGUGGCGAAGGCGGCUUUCUGGCUCGCAACUGACGCUGAGGCGCGGAAGCGUGGGGAGCAAACAGG